GACGAACGCUGGCGGCGUGCUUAACACAUGCAAGUCGAACGGAAAGGCCCUGCUUUUGUGGGGUGCUCGAGUGGCGAACGGGUGAGUAACACGUGAGUAACCUGCCCUUGACUUUGGGAUAACUUCAGGAAACUGGGGCUAAUACCGGAUAGGAGCUCCUGCUGCAUGGUGGGGGUUGGAAAGUUUCGGCGGUUGGGGAUGGACUCGCGGCUUAUCAGCUUGUUGGUGGGGUAGUGGCUUACCAAGGCUUUGACGGGUAGCCGGCCUGAGAGGGUGACCGGCCACAUUGGGACUGAGAUACGGCCCAGACUCCUACGGGAGGCAGCAGUGGGGAAUAUUGCACAAUGGGCGGAAGCCUGAUGCAGCAACGCCGCGUGCGGGAUGACGGCCUUCGGGUUGUAAACCGCUUUCGCCUGUGACGAAGCGUGAGUGACGGUAAUGGGUAAAGAAGCACCGGCUAACUACGUGCCAGCAGCCGCGGUGAUACGUAGGGUGCGAGCGUUGUCCGGAUUUAUUGGGCGUAAAGGGCUCGUAGGUGGUUGAUCGCGUCGGAAGUGUAAUCUUGGGGCUUAACCCUGAGCGUGCUUUCGAUACGGGUUGACUUGAGGAAGGUAGGGGAGAAUGGAAUUCCUGGUGGAGCGGUGGAAUGCGCAGAUAUCAGGAGGAACACCAGUGGCGAAGGCGGUUCUCUGGGCCUUUCCUGACGCUGAGGAGCGAAGGCGUGGGGAGCGAACAGGCUUAGAUACCCUGGUAGUCCACGCUGUAAACGGUGGGUACUAGGUGUGGGGUCCAUUCCACGGGUUCCGUGCCGUAGCUAACGCUUUAAGUACCCCGCCUGGGGAGUACGGCCGCAAGGCUAAAACUCAAAGGAAUUGACGGGGCCCCGCACAAGCGGCGGAGCAUGCGGAUUAAUUCGAUGCAACGCGUAGAACCUUACCUGGGUUUGACAUGGAUCGGGAGUGCUCAGAGAUGGGUGUGCCUCUUUUGGGGUCGGUUCACAGGUGGUGCAUGGCUGUCGUCAGCUCGUGUCGUGAGAUGUUGGGUUAAGUCCCGCAACGAGCGCAACCCUUGUUCACUGUUGCCAGCACGUUAUGGUGGGGACUCAGUGGAGACCGCCGGGGUCAACUCGGAGGAAGGUGGGGAUGACGUCAAGUCAUCAUGCCCCUUAUGUCCAGGGCUUCACGCAUGCUACAAUGGCUGGUACAGAGAGUGGCGAGCCUGUGAGGAUGAGCGAAUCUCGGAAAGCCGGUCUCAGUUCGGAUUGGGGUCUGCAACUCGACCUCAUGAAGUCGGAGUCGCUAGUAAUCGCAGAUCAGCAACGCUGCGGUGAAUACGUUCCCGGGGCU
rnacentral:rRNA from 1 species